rnacentral:lncRNA from 1 species
ACUAACUUACCCCAUUUUCUAUAUCAUGUUUAUCAUCAUGAUAGCAUCUUGUGUUUUCCAAGUCAAGUUCCUGAAUCAAGCCACGAAACUCUACAAUACGACAACAGUGGUGCCAGUUAAUCAUAUUUUCUUUACAAUCAGUGCCAUCAUUGCAGGUAUCAUAUUUUAUCAGGAAUUCCUUGGUGCUCCUUUUCUCACUGUAUUUAUAUAUCUUUUUGGGUGAGUAAAUGUCUCAGAGGUAAAGCAUGUGAAAUUCUAUUACUUUUACGUAGGAUUUUCGGCAUUGUACCGGAGGUAUAGAAAAUUGGAAAAUAAUAUAAGAAACAUCAGUUUCCUGAGCUCCUAAAAGAAACAUAUUUUUUAACUUAAGGCCCUAAACAGGGCUCAGCGUCUUUGGCUUUGUGACUUAGGUAUAUCUCUGCUGUUCUGAAACAUUGGGGAUUUCCAAUUCCAGGCCAAAGACAAGAUACAUCCACUGGCCCUUGUAGUUACUGCACGACCUUUCUGUACUGUAUCAGACCUACUUCGCUCUUGGGAACCCCUAGAUUAGAUCUAAAUUAGAGAAUCAUGAUCCUCUAGGGUCGCCCAAAAUAAAAGGCCAAGAUGGGCAGAUCCCUUGCUUUAGUCAUGAUAAUAUCAGGUUGGUAGCAUCCCUUUCUUGUGUUAAGAGUGUGCAGCUUGAGCUCUCCCUAGAGAUUUGGUGGGCAUCAUUGCUAGCAUUGCUUGCAAACAGAGAGCAGAACUUUGACAAUAUAUCACCAGUGUAUAGGAGCUUCCAUGACUCCAUGAGGCACUUCAUUAAAUGUUUAGCUGCUCCUUGAUCUAGUAGUCAGCAUGAUCAUUGUUAUGCAAACUUGAGCCUAGGCUAUUUUCGGUGUAGGAAGCCAUCUAUCUUGAAAAUUCAAUUUCAUAAGAUAAUUGGGCAAGGCCAAACUUCUGAGGUCUGGAAAUUAUGACUACUCUUAUGGCCAAGGAAAACUAGAUUUCUUAGAAAAUUAAAGAAUAAAUUAUUUUUUCUCUUGUGUCACAUGCCAGAAAUGGAUCUGGGCGUGCAUGGGCAGAAAAUGAGACAGGGUGUCCCCAAGGGUUUUGAGCCUGAGUUAGCCCCCAGAUGGUAAAAACCUGGGCCAGAGAUCUACUGGAAUCUGCCCAAGUCUUGGUUCUGGGUAGAACUAUUGGCUGUGCUAAUUAAGACAAGUACUAGGAAGCUUACCAUGAGAAACUGGAAGAACAAAACCAAUGGGAUUUAUGUCAUCAUGUAGAAUAUGGAGCUCAGUUAUUUAAUACCAUGAGUCUGUUUCAGUGUUCUUGUAUUCUUUAUUAAUAUUAUCCUUACAGGUGUUUUCUGUCAUUCCUUGGUGUAUUUUUGGUCACAAGAAAUCGAGAAAAGGAACAUCUGCAACAGUCUUAUAUUGAUUUUGGAAAUAUUCCUGGUAAAAUCAUAUAUUCUUUAUAGUGGAAAAUUUGAUCCUUAUAAAUGAAUAGUUAUUGGUAUUAUUUUGGGUGGUAAGUUAAUAUAAAACAUAAUUCUUAUCCUAAAAAAUGUACAUUUAAUAAUGAAACCAAAGGUGCUAUUUUCAGUGUAAAUGUUUCUAAUAAUUUAUUGAAUGUCAGUUUUGCACAGAACUGGGGAUAUAAAAGAACUGACCAUGUUUCCUCGAUUUGGGUGAUUUGGAGGAUUUCCUUUUUGGGUUUCCUUAAAUUGGAAAAGGGUAGAGAAAAGAGUAGCAAUGACUACCAGCAGCAGACCCCUGCCACUUUGAGAGCCUUGAAGGAACAUCCAAGGACAAAGGGUAGGCAGCUAAGGAGCAUGUCUUGGGGGAAGCCUGAGGUGGCCUGUGCACUGUGGCUCAGGACAGUCACCAAAACAUGAGUAGUUUCUUCCCCCUUCCUCACCCCGCCUACCCAGAGAGCAAACACUCUUUCCCGUUCUCACUCUCACUGAGAAAUAACUCGCCUAGUCAUGUAGACAACAAAAGCCAAGUCCAGGACAAAGGAAACUGUCUGCUGUGUCACCUCUUCCCCUGUCCACCCGCCCUCAGCACUCUCCAGCCUUACUGGGGAUGUAGGGGGACCUAUAGGUUUCCAGGCAGGAGUGGAGACAUUCUCACAGCUUUCUCCACCAUUCUGUUAGCACCAUGCCUGUGAAGCAAAAACUAGGGAAGCCUCAUCCCUAAGACUGAGAAAUAUGGCCCCAUGCAAUGAAUUCUGUGUUCUCUUUGCCAUUCGAGCCAUCUUAUCUGCUGGGAGCAGUCAAUGAAAGAAUUGGCAUCAGUGGCAAAGGUGCUUGUGAUAGAAGCCUUAUAUGGUUAGAGGUUCUUUGAUAGGAAAUAAAGUUUGACUUUUUUUUUUUUUUUUGAGAUGGAGUCUUGCUCUGUUGCCCAGGCUGGAGUGCAGUGGCACAAUCUCAGCUUACUGCAGCCUCCCCCUCCCGGGUUCAAGUGAUUCUCGUGUCUCAGCCUCCCGAGUAGGCACCACCAUGCCCGGCUAAUUUUUGUAUUUUUAGCAGAGGUGGGUUUUCACCAUGUUGGCCAGGCUGGUCUCGAAUUCCUGACCUCAAAUGAUUCGCCUGCCUCGGCCUCCCAAUGUGCUGGGAUGAUAGGUGUGAGCCACUGCACCGAGCCUGAUUAUUUUUAACUCUAUUUUUUAUUUCACAAAGCUCAGUGCAUAGGCUCCGUAGUAGCUUUAGAAGUCACUAUCAAAGGCUAUUUUUCUAUGUUGUUAUAUGCAUUCGACGUGGAAAAGAAGACACAACCCCAGAGAGAAAGGCUUGGAGGGAAACAAAUGUUGGACAAAAUACAACCAGAUUCACAUAGCUUAUCCUAUGGAACUUUGCCUGAUGGAAGUGACUCAACAAAGAGCCAAAGUGGAGAGAAGAAAGAGGUCUAAAUGCUGAGAAGGAUGGCUGUUGGCCUGUUAUUCGAUACCACCUUUUUAAAAAAUUGCACAUGUUCAAUUUGUGUCAGCAGCUCUUUUAUAAGCUAACAUGUGCUAGCAUUCAUUUCAGUCCUUUCCCCCACCUCAGCGUCUAUGGACAAUCGGGGACUUCCUAAGCUCUGACAGUCUAAUAUUUCCAUGGAAUGUGAUUUGGAGUGUUCCCCACACCCUGGACCUCUCCCUAGUGAUUAUCUAGCCAGCUACACCUUACUCAGAGCCCGGCUGCUCUAGCAGGAAUGUUGCACAGAAACAUACAUUUGCGGUUUGGCCACAGGUCGCAUAGGUGGCUUCUCCCACGGGUAGUGUCAGUUGCUUCACUUUAAAAAGUCACUUCAGCCCCACAACCUCACUCCCAAAAGAAAGGUUUGAGAGCGCUCAUUUUUUUUCUAAGACACCUUUUAUAAGCCUCCCUAUAAAAAUCUCACCUUUCAAGUACUAAGUUAGAAUUGCAAGUCAUCUUUUCUGAAAACUAAUGCUAUCAAAGUCCUCCUUUGAAAAUUAAGGGUCUCUUUAAAAUUAGAAUUUAUAAAUGGCAUUCAGUGAUAGUGUACACCAAAAUUAAAAGACCUUGACUGGUGGGCUUUUUACGUGUAAGGAAGAGGAAGUUUAAGAAGUAGGACUCUGCUUGUUUCAGUAGCCCAUGUACUAAAAUAGGAACAAUGCAGAGAUUAGCACAGCCCCUGCACAAGGCUGACACAUAAAUUCAUGAAGCGUUAGAGACAAAAAGUAGGACUAAUGUUUGUUUAUUUUUUAAUAAAAAUCUAGAAUGGUGAUGUUUUCUUCAGCUGUAUGAUUCUAUCAUACUUGAAACUGAAGAAAAAUUUAAUAUCCUAUGUCUUUUUUAUAGAUCUUAUAAUUUAUCAAGUGGAUUUAUAUGUCUUAUUCUCCAUAUAAGUCUAAAAAAUCACAUUUAAAUUCUUAGUGAUAGUUUCACUACACAUCAUUUCUUCCCAAAGUCAUUACCUCAAGCUUUGUAAAUUCUUCUAGAUAAAAGGAGAGUUGUGAUUAGAGAACUGAAUUUCAGCCAUUUAAACCUGUAGACAUAGAAAACAACCCAGUGGUCAAACCUGAGCUUCAAGAGGAAGCCCAAGUCCUCCUGUUUCCUGAAUGGCUUUUCCACUCCAAUUCAUCACAUAUCUGCUAAGACACAUUUGCAGGUAGAAUCCAUAAUAAUAUCUGUUAUUUAUGAUCUACCUAAUAUUUAAAGGAGAAGAAAAGAAGUAGCCUUCGUUGCAGCCAACAUCCAACAAUAAGUCCCACCCUUAAUGACAUUUCAAAGCCUUCAGAUCACUUCUGACAUGUCUGUCCAAUAUCAUUCCAAUCAAUAGUCUUGCAUUUAAAUAGGUUGUUUAACUCGGUGGUAUUGAGACUGUAACCUUAAUGGCUCAGGUCUUUUAGCUUUGUUCUUUGUCAUAAUCUGCACUCCUGGCCAGACUGACCAAACCUGGCUGCAAAGGAAAGAGAUUUGAAUUGAUCACCAAUGUAUGAAAAAUACAGAACCCAUGUCUGGCUCCUAAACUCCUGGUAAUAAUUCCCGCCAUCGUAGCAAGUGUCCCAUGCAUUCAGAUAAAGCAGUCAUAAUUUAUGGUGUAUUUUACCGAAUUGGUCCAGCAUAUUGGUCCUACAAGGCUCAGCCAAGAAAUGUAUCUGGUGCCUUAAACUACAGAUUUCUGGUGACUCUUAAAACUGGUUUACAAAGAUUGAGAAAACAAUUAGAUUGAAGAGUUUUGCUUCAAGUAGACCUGCAUUCAUAGCUAGAGUGCAUGAGAUUUUCAGCACUGUAGAAUUUCACACAGGCACAAGCAUAACACCAGUACUUUAGCAGCCGCCAACAGUUGCAUCUAUUAAACGUUUUGAGAAAUGACAUUGACUUAUGCACAUUUAAGCAAUCAACAAUGUUUUAGAAGUCCAGGUAACAUAUAAAAUAUAUUCAGACCUAGUUUUACUUUCCAUAUUGUUGCUCCAAAGUAAGGUAAAUAGGAGUUUUAGUUGUACUGGCCUGUAAGAUUUUUUAAAUUACACAGUGCAUGACAACAACUAAAGCCAACUCAGUCCUUCUCUUGGCAUUGUGAGUUGAGGACCUUUAGCCAACUGUUAGCUCAUCUGACUAUCUGUCUAGACCAAGGGUCGGCAAAGUUUUCAGUAAAGACCCACAGAGUACAUAUUUUGGAGUUUGUGUUGUCUGUACCAACAGACAGACAUGGUGUCUGUCCCAACUACCCAACUCUGCCAUUGUAGCACUAAAGCAGCCAUAGACAAGAUGUAAACAGAAGAGCAUGGCUGUGUUCCAGUAAAACUUUAUUUACAGGCCAGGCAUGGUGGCUCAUGCCUGUAAUCCCAGCACUCUGGGAGGCUGAGGCUGACAGAUCAUCUGAGGUUAGGAGUUUGGGACCAGCCUGGUCAACAUAGUGAAACCCCAUCUCUACUAAAAGUACAAAAAUUAGCCAGGCAUGACGGUGGGUGCCUGGAGUCCCAGCUACCUGGGAGGCUGAGGCAGGAGAAUCACUUGAACCCGGGAGGUGGAGGUUGCAGUGAGCCGAGAUCAUGCCAUUGCACUCCAGCCUGGGCGACAGAGUAAGACUGUCUCAAAAACAAACAAACAAACAAACAAACAAAAACAAGUGGCCAGUCUGUGAGCUAUAGUUCCCAACACCUGGUCUAGACUCUUCUGCCCUUGCUCUGCAGCUUCUUUCCUGUUGAUUGGGCAUUCAGGGAAGGAGUUUAAAAAGUGACACUCAUGGCUCAUGACAAAUGAGAUACUUUGGGAGUGUGGAAACAUGGCUUGAUAUUUGCCUUCAGAUAUUUUUGCUUAUAUAAGUUCUAAAUGGAAGUGAUAAGUUCAUUCUUAGGGUCCAAGUUGAAAGGCAGUGGUUCUUUUGUGAACACCACUAACUACAUUCGAAAAGCCUCUCCAAUUCCACAUUCCAAGUCUAUAACAGCUUUGGAAAUGAGUAACAAUGACCUCUCAUGUAGUAGAUUAAAGCAGAGGCCUUUGCCAUAUGAUUGUUUUUUGGCUUAAAUGUUUGCUUGCCCUGUAACUGUAAUACUUUGGUUACCAGAAUCACUUGAAAACAAAUACAAUAAAAAAAUUUCUCAA